GAACGGAUCAAGCGUUAAUGUGAGACGUACUUUCAGGUAUAUAUAUUUAACAUUAUUGUUUCGUCUUGUAAGCGUGGCGUAUCUUCCUGUAUUUUUUUCUAGGAAGAACUGGAACGACACUGCUUAAAUUGAAGCAUAGUGUGUGAAUGACCUGCUAUGCUUGGAGCUGUUACCACCAUUCGGGAAGAAAUCAGAUGAAAAAACAAAACUAUAAAUACCUAGUACUGUACGAUAUACGUCCGCUGCAUUGCAGGUAAAAAUGGAUUGUGUGUGGCACAGCUCCGCAUGUGGACUAGAGUAGAUCUAGGAACAUCGGACUAAAAGACACUUUGUUUCAGUUUGAAUGAGCAUUGCAACUAUCCAAGCUUCACUCUCGACGGGGACAGUGAAAUGCCGGAUACUGUACCAUUCAGAGCCAAGAACAUGGGAACGGCUGAAGAAGAGCCUCCCAGGCAGUAUGCGAAACUCUCACAGCAGACCAGCACUGUCCUUUAGCUGUAUCAUACUAUAUCAGUGAACAAAGACUACUUGCAAAUUGUUAACACUGCUGCACGAAAAAAUUAAUGUAUUUUAUGGUUGCAAAAUAAACACCUAAAAGAGAAAACAUUGCGUUCAUGUGUUUCUUUUGUUGCGUGUUACUUAUUUAUACUAACGAGUACAGAGAAUAAUUAGUGGCAUUUAAUUAUGUUUCACAUGUGAAUUACGUGCAUAUCACGUAUAUUAAAUGCCAGCGCGAGUUAAACACCUCUAAUAAACUGUAUAUCGUUGACCUGAAAAUGCAACACGCAGCAAAAAAAGAAAAACGUGAUGUUUUUUUUUUUUAUAAUAAAAAAUAAAAAAAUGUCCGCACCCAGCCAAUGGCA